rnacentral:miRNA from 1 species
UUUCAAUAAACAUUGCGAAAAGUCUCCCUUUUCGUAACGUUUACCAAAACAUUGCGAAAAGGGAGACUUUUCGCAAUGUUUUUUAC